rnacentral:rRNA from 1 species
UUAAGUCCGCAACGAGCGCAACCCUCAUCCUUAGUUGCCAUCACGUUUGGGUGGGCACUCUAAGGAAACUGCCGGUGGCAAGCCGGAGGAAGGUGGGGAUGACGUCAAGUCCUCAUGGCCCUUACGGGUAGGGCUACACACGUGCUACAAUGGCAGUGACAAUGGGAUAAUCCCAAAAAGCUGUCUCAGUUCGGAUUGUCGUCUGCAACUCGACGGCAUGAAGGUGGAAUCGCUAGUAAUCGUGGAUCAGCAUGCCACGGUGAAUACGUUCCCGGGCCUU